rnacentral:rRNA from 1 species
GUCUGCAACUCGACUACAUGAAGCUGGAAUCGCUAGUAAUCGCGGAUCAGAAUGCCGCGGUGAAUACGUUCCCGGGUCUUGUACACACCGCCCGUCACACCAUGGGAGUUGGGAAUGCCCGAAGUCAGUGACCUAACCGAAAGGAGGGAGCUGCCGAAGGCAGGCCUGAUAACUGGGGUGAAGUCGUAACAAGGUAAC